rnacentral:rRNA from 1 species
CUGUGAGGCGUUGAGCUAACCCAUACUAAUUGCCCGUGAGGCUUGACCAUA